CAAAGUAUCAAAUUGCCAAAUUAAAAGUAACAAAUUAAAAACCCACAAGAGCAUGUCAUGCCAAAUCAUUCAAGAAAGAAACAAAAAACUCUCCCGACGUCCUUGCGAAAAUAAAAAACACCCACACUGACCCGCUCGCCCCGGAUAUAUAUAUAUAUAUCCUAACACUCCUCGCCCCCGCUUUGUUCCCAGUAUUUCUUGGAGUCCCAGGUGCCAUAUCACCUGUUUUUAUCGGCAUUACCCACUAUGUUCUCUAAACACCCGGACCCAAUUUCCCCUAAUUUCCCAUAACCAUUUAUGGAUUUUCCUUCCCUUAUUUUGCAUAACCUUAGACUAAACACCUGGGCCUUCUUCAGUCUUCACAACAUGUUUAUGAGCACCAAAUGCCAAAUUUGGUGGAUUUUCAAAUUUAUGGAUUUUCCUCCCUUUAGUUCUCAGGGCCUAGGUCUGUGGACCCCUGUUUUUUUCCAUUCUACCUAACAUGUUUUCGCUAUGGGCCAAGGUCUGAGAACCAUGGUCUUCUUCAUUUUCCAUAACAAUUUAUGAGCUAAGGUCUGGGAACAAUGGUCUUUUCCAUUUUUCAUAACAAGUUUACAUUUGUUAUUACAAAUGUGCACAAAAAGGGGCUCCAUUCCCUCGUCAAAGUUACAUUUGCCAUUUGCUUCUGAGUCUUUUACGACAGACAUCUGCCCUGAGGAUUAAACCUGCAUUCAACUAAAAUGAAUCCUUCACCUCCAGGUCGAUCAAUUCAGCCUGGUUACACCAGCCGGAACCCUCUUCCUUCUCCCUAUCCAAGACCUGAGCCUGCUGACCCCAUGGCCGGCUAUCGCCGCUUCCAACUGCGUCAUAUCAUCUCUGAGCUACUACGCUUCUGGAACAGCUCAGUUCUCCUGAACUGCCUGAGCAUGCUUAUCUGCCAUCUCAUAUUGUGAGGAAUCCUCCUGUUCGCACGUCCUCCUCUCAAACCACUCUGGUGAACCUCGUGGACAGGGGAUCUCAAACUGAUGGCUGUCCUCAUGCUCACCCUUGCACCCGUGAGCUUGGAACUCCCGGCUCCCCCCCUCCUUAUGCCUAUGUUCGUCCCCUCUCUCCCACCUUUCCAUCUUCUCCCUCUGAUUCUAUCCCUGGAUCUCCAGAUUACACUCCUGGAUCUCCAGAUUACACUCCUACUACCCCCCUUUACUAAGGUCUAAUAAUAAACACCUUAAUUAUAAUAAAUCACCUUCUAUCCA